GGCCCGUUGGUCAAGCGGUUAAGACACCGCCCUUUCACGGCGGUAACACGGGUUCGAAUACCGUACGGGUCA
rnacentral:tRNA from 1 species